rnacentral:other from 1 species
AUAUUUCUGCGAUGUACGUUUACCCAUAUAAUUCAACCGACAUAGUGAACACGGGAGUUCGGGUCCAGUAAUGUAGAGCAAGCCUUUAUUGGUAGUUUGAAAUUAUUGGCAGGGCACCCCCCUUGUGAGAGGCGGGUGUGAAUUAGUUGGGAUGACGGCAUUGUGGUAAUUUC